rnacentral:rRNA from 1 species
GAUGAACGCUGGCGGCGUGCCUAAUACAUGCAAGUCGAGCGAACGGACGAGAAGCUUGCUUCUCUGAUGUUAGCGGCGGACGGGUGAGUAACACGUGGAUAACCUACCUAUAAGACUGGGAUAACUUCGGGAAACCGGAGCUAAACCCGGAUAAAAUUAUAAACGGAAUGGUUAAAAAGUGAAAAACGGUCUUGCUGUCAUUAAUAGAUGGAUCCGCGCUGCAUUAGCUAGUUGGUAAGGUAACGGCUUACCAAGGCAACGAUGCAUAGCCGACCUGAGAGGGUGAUCGGCCACACUGGAACUGAGACACGGUCCAGACUCCUACGGGAGGCAGCAGUAGGGAAUCUUCCGCAAUGGGCGAAAGCCUGACGGAGCAACGCCGCGUGAGUGAUGAAGGUCUUCGGAUCGUAAAACUCUGUUAUUAGGGAAGAACAUAUGUGUAAGUAACUGUGCACAUCUUGACGGUACCUAAUCAGAAAGCCACGGCUAACUACGUG